GUCCACUGCUGAACAUAGGCCUCUCCAA
rnacentral:piRNA from 1 species